CAGCUUCAAAGGGAUUUGAAGGGUGGUGACAGGCUCCAGCCCAGACUGCGCCUCGGAAUGCAGACGCUUCUCUGCCUAGAACCUGGCCCGGCCCUAUGGGAAAGCCCCGGUUCUCGGCGGCACUGAACUGGUUCAUAUUCUAAAGAGAGCAGGCACUGAGCAAAUGUUUGUUGAACUGAACCAAUCUGCUAGUUAUGGGGACAUGACCUCCACUUCAUGGUGUUGAACUAAACAAACACAUACUUCUCCAGACAAAUAUUAAAACUGGUGAACUUCAAAAUAACGUGAAAAGCUCCUAUGUUUCCAUGCCUCAUUAUAUGCCACAAAAAAUCAAAUGAUAACGAGAACAAAUUCCUAGGUCCAGCACAAUUAGAGGAGGGUUCACUCGUAGGCAGCAUCUGAGCAACAGGCUCACCAGACUUCAGCCUCUUCACUCCGACUCUUCCACGCUCCAGCUCUCUUCAUUAAGAUAUUCUAGAAGCAACUGAGGAGUUUCUACAAACAUUUUGGAAAUUACAGCAGGUCAAGUGGAAGUUUGUUUUCAUUUCAGUUAAGGUACGAGUUGUUCUGACUGCUGUGCAGACAUUCACACGCCCGCUGCUAGAAAGCUGGAGCUGGAAGGAGCAUUGGGGCCCGCUGAGUCCUCCUUUCUCAUGUAUGGAUGCGGAUGUGGAGGCAGGCCCUAAGUCUUAGUGUAGGUGCCGAUGGUGCAGGUUGACUCACUUAAAGAAGAAUUUGAAUCAUUAUCUAACAGAAAAAGAUCAAUAACAAGCAUUAUUGCUGGAACAUUCUAUGGAUAGACUGCUUUCUAUACAUGAUUGGUGAAUAUUGUAUUUCAAUUAAUUAUAUAUCCUGAUAAUAUAUGAAUUAAUACUGUGAUAUCCUGCAUACAAUAACAAUAAUCAAUGGAAAUAUAG
rnacentral:lncRNA from 1 species